AAAAUUCAUCUGUGAAGAGAUCAGGAGAUAUAUAAGAACACGUCUAAAAAAUCCAGGGGGACGGAGAUACUUCUUUGUAAGCAUAAAAUCCAAAAACAACACAACAUACGUUUUGGGGAAAUCUAAGAGAAGCAAUUAAAAUUGUUUUUCUCUGUUAAACUCAAAAAAUAUUUCCUUAACACGAAGCCAGAUUCAACAGUAAAUCAAAAAAUAUUUUCUUUGUAAACAUCAAAUCCCAAACAACACAACGCACGUUUUUUUUUUGAAAAUCUAAGAAAAACAAUUAAAAUUAUUUCUCUCUGUUAAACUCAAACCAAACAGCAAAACGAAGCAACAACAACAACAACCAAGUGACAAAAAUCAAAGGAAGAACAGAGGGAGCGAAACUCAUCUCGACAGGGGAGGGAGCGUCGUCGGCGUUUGGACUCCACCAAGUAAACAUUCUUUUUUUUUCCAUUCAAACCUUUGCAUGUUUUCUUCAAAGCAUAACCAUGGAGGAUCCAAUUUCGGAUUUAGGGUCUGAGUUUUUAGCACUUGGUAGUUAGUGUUUAGGUUUUUGUUUUGUUGGGGAAUGAUUUAGGGUUUGUAGCCGCGCGAGAGAGGGAGGCGAAUUAGGAUUUAGGUAUUUUUUUUUCUUCUUCUUUUUCUUCUCUUCUUUAGGUUCCGAUCCGGUCAUUUGAGGAAGAUUUUGGAAAAAACAAGUUUAGAUUUGAGUAGAGGAGUAAAAAAUAAGUGGGGUUUGUGUUUGGUUCUUUUAGAUUUGAGGUGGUUGUUCGCCGGAGGAGACGACGGCGCCGCCGCGGUUGGCCGGCCGCCACCGUCUUCUCCGGUCAAGAUUGGCCAUGAGAGGGAGACGGAAGGUGAAGUUGCAGAGCAACUUGAAAUAGAGAGAGUAAGAACACGGUUAUGAAAGAGGUAAAAGUGAAAUCAUAGUUAUAUGAACAUAGGUUAAUUUGCUUUUACUACUUUUUUUUUUCUCCAAAUAUUGCAUUUAAUUUCUAUUUAUUCCAAUACUAAAAAAUCCAUAAAUGACAAUUGUUAAGAGAGAGAGGAAAUUUAACCGAGUAACAGUAGGGAGAAACUGUAUUUUUUCUCUAUCAUUUAUUUUAAUAGCUAAUUAUUAUUUUGUUCUUUUUUUUAAAAAAAAUCCAACGCCACUUGUCGACUUAUAAUUAGCUCCUUUAUACAUCAUUAUUCUGCAACACAAAAUGGAUUGUGUAGCUGCAGAACAUUAGAAUGGGAUGCUCUCCCACAUUUGUUUUGCUAUUUUUUUUUUUUAUAUAUUAUUUUUUUUUUAUUUUGCUGUUUGUUUAUUUUAUUUUAUUUUAUUAAAUUAAUUGUUUUAUUAGUUUGAUUAGUUUUCAUUUUUAAUGGGGCCUUUGGGCUAGCUAUGUUGCUACUCUCUCCCUCAUUUUCAAAUUACACCUCCCUUUAUUUCUAUUUUAUUUUCAUUUUAUUUUUAUUCGAUUAAUCAUUUUUUUAAGUUAUUUAAUUUUUUCUAAUUAAAUUUAAUUAACUUCAUUAAUCAAUUGAAUUAACUUUUUAUCGAUUAUUCUUGAUAGUCAAUUCUAAUUAGUAUAACUAAUUGAUUUAACCAAUUUUAAUCGAUUAAUUUUUCUAAUUAAAAAUCUUUUCUCCUGAUUAAUUUAAAUUGACUUAAUUAAGCAACUUGACAUUUAUAAAAUCAAUUCUUUCAAGAUAAAUACACUCGAUUCAACGUCAAGCAACUUUGUCAAAACAAACCAUUUUAAACCAUUGAAAUACCAAUUCUCGAUUUAAUAUCGAGCCCAUUCUUCAAACACCUUUGUAAGUCGAUUACUUGUAAAAGUAUCGCCAUCAACCCCACAUGGCUUACUCUUGGGCCUUCUUACAAUGAGACCAUUCACUAAAUAAAUUCAAUUCAUUCAUAAGAACCCAAAUUUUAAAACCUCGAUCCGACAAUCGAAAGUUAAAUUAAAAUACUUAAUCACAUUUAAAACAACACUUCAUUUGAAAAUGAAAAGGGGGAUGGCUUUGAGUUUUCAACUCCUCUCCUCGAUUAUUUGAAUACGAGUUCUCUUACUCGGUUAGUCAAAUAGUCGUCAUUUUCAUCCACCUAAGCAUAAACAAAUCAAACUAUUUCAUAAUAACAAAACGAAAAGGGAGAUGACUUUGAGUCUUCAAUUUUUCUCCUCGAUUUAUUUGAAUACAAGUUCUCUUACUUGGUCAGUCAAAUAAUUGUCGUUUCUCUAAAAACUUCUAAAUCAAGAUUAAAUCAAAUUAUUUUCACAAUAAGCUAAAUAAAAAA
rnacentral:lncRNA from 1 species